rnacentral:rRNA from 1 species
GAUUAAGCCAUGCAUGUCUAAGUUCACACCCUUGUACGGUGAAACCGCGAAUGGCUCAUUAAAUCAGUCGAGGUUCCUUAGAUGAUCCAAAUCUACUUGGAUAACUGUGGUAAUUCUAGAGCUAAUACAUGCCAACCAGCUCCGACCCUCACGGGAAAGAGCGCUUUUAUUAGUUCAAAACCAGUCGGGGCGUUAAACCCCCGUCCUUUGGUGACUCUGGAUAACUUUGUGCCGAUCGCAUGGCCUCGAGCCGGCGACGCAUCUUUCAAAUGUCUGCCCUAUCAAAUGACGAUGGUACGUGAUCUGCCUACCAUGUUAGCAACGGGUAGCGGGGAAUCAGGGUUCGAUUCCGGAGAGGGAGCAUGAGAAACGGCUACCACAUCCAAGGAAGGCAGCAGGCGCGCAACUUACCCACUCCUGGCACGGGGAGGUAGUGACGAAAAAUAACAAUACGGAACUCUUUUGAGGCUCCGUAAUUGGAAUGAGUACACUUUAAAGCCUUUAACGAGGAUCUAUUGGAGGGCAAGUCUGGUGCCAGCAGCCGCGGUAAUUCCAGCUCCAAUAGCGUAUACUAAAGUUGUUGCGAUUAAAAAGCUCGUAGUUGGAUCUCAGGCAUGGGCGCACGGUCCGCCUCGCGGCGGUCACUGUGUGUAUUGUUUCCCAUCCUACGCUUCCCGGUUGUUCAGCCCAUGGUGCUCUUGAUUGAGCGUUUUGGGUGGCCGGAACGUUUACUUUGAAGAAAUUAGAGUGUUCAAAGCAGGCACGUCGCCUGAAUAAUGGUGCAUGGAAUAAUGGAAUAGGACCUCGGUUCUAUUUUGCUGGUUUUCGGAACACGAGGUAAUGAUUAAGAGGGACAGACGGGGGCAUCCGUAUUGCGGUGUUAGAGGUGAAAUUCUUGGAUCAUCGCAAGACGAACGACUGCGAAAGCAUUUGCCAAGCAUGUUUUCAUUAGUCAA